AUACGAAGGGGGCAAGCGUUGUUCGGAAUAACUGGGCGUAAAGCGCACGUAGGCGGAAUGUUAAGUUAGAGGUGAAAUCCCAGGGCUCAACCCUGGAACGGCCUUUAAUACUGGCAAUCUAGAGACCGAGAGAGGUGAGUGGAAUUCCGAGUGUAGAGGUGAAAUUCGUAGAUAUUCGGAGGAACACCAGUGGCGAAGGCGGCUCACUGGCUCGGUACUGACGCUGAGGUGCGAAAGCGUGGGGAGCAAACAGGAUUAGAUACCCGUGUAGUCC
rnacentral:rRNA from 1 species